UACGUAGGGUGCAAGCGUUGUCCGGAAUUAUUGGGCGUAAAGAGCUCGUAGGCGGUUUGUCGCGUCUGCUGUGAAAUCCCGAGGCUCAACCUCGGGCCUGCAGUGGGUACGGGCAGACUAGAGUGCGGUAGGGGAGAUUGGAAUUCCUGGUGUAGCGGUGGAAUGCGCAGAUAUCAGGAGGAACACCGAUGGCGAAGGCAGAUCUCUGGGCCGUAACUGACGCUGAGGAGCGAAAAGCGUGGGGAGCGAACAGG
rnacentral:rRNA from 1 species